rnacentral:rRNA from 1 species
CCCAGACUCCUACGGGAGGCAGCAGUGGGGGAUAUUGCACAAUGGGGGGAACCCUGAUGCAGCGACGCCGCGUGGGUGAAGAAGCGCCUCGGCGCGUAAAGCCCUGUCAGCAGGGAAGAAAAUGACGGUACCUGAAGAAGAAGCCCCGGCUAACUACGUGCCAGCAGCCGCGGUAAUACGUAGGGGGCAAGCGUUAUCCGGAUUUACUGGGUGUAAAGGGGGCGCAGACGGCGAUGCAAGCCAGGAGUGAAAGCCCGGGGCCCAACCCCGGGACUGCUCUCGGAACUGCGUGGCUAGAGUGCAGGAGGGGCAGGCGGAAUUCCUGGUGUAGCGGUGAAAUGCGUAGAUAUCAGGAGGAACACCGGUGGCGAAGGCGGCUUUCUGGACUGUAACUGACACUGAGGUACGAAAGCGUGGGGAGCAAACAGGAUUAGAUACCCUAGUAAC